rnacentral:rRNA from 1 species
UACCAGCACCCCGAGUGGUCGGGACGUUUAUUGGGCCUAAAGCAUCCGUAGCCGGUUCUACAAGUCUUCCGUUAAAUCCAACUGCUUAACAGGUGGGCUGCGGAAGAUACUAUAGAGCUAGGAGGCGGGAGAGGCAAGCGGUACUCGAUGGGUAGGGGUAAAAUCCGUUGAUCCAUUGAAGACCACCAGUGGCGAAGGCGGCUUGCCCGAACGCGCUCGACGGUGAGGGAUGAAAGCUGGGGGAGCAAACCGG